rnacentral:tRNA from 1 species
UCCCAAGUGGUCUAGUGGCUAGGAUCUGGCGUUUUCACCGCCAUUGCCCGGGUUCGAUUCCCGGCGUGGGAA